GAUGAACGCUGGCGGCGUGCCUAAUACAUGCAAGUCGAGCGGCAAGGCCCUUCGGGGUACACGAGCGGCGGACGGCUGAGUAACACGUAGGAACGUACCCCAAACUGAGGGAUAAGCACCAGAAAUGGUGUCUAAUACCGCAUGUGGCCCACGGGCUAAAGCUCCGGCGGUUGAGAACGGCCUGCGUCCGAUUAGCUAGUUGGCGAGGUAAAAGCCCACCAAGGCGACGAUCGGUAGCUGGUCUGAGAGGAUGAUCAGCCAGACUGGGACUGAGACACGGCCCAGACUCCUACGGGAGGCAGCAGUAGGGAAUUUUCCACAAUGGGGGCAACCCUGAUGGAGCAACGCCGCGUGCAGGAUGAAGGCCUUCGGGUUGUAAACUGCUUUUAUCUGUGACGAUUAUGACGGUAGCAGAUGAAUAAGGACCUGCUAACUACGUGCCAGCCGCCGCAGUAAUAC
rnacentral:rRNA from 1 species